ensembl:lncRNA
UCACCACCCGGCCACAGGAAACCAGCUGACUUUGUCCUCUCAUGUCCCCCGUCCCAGCCCAGGAAGGGACUUGCUGUCCCGUCAACAGCCCAGCUUCUGAGAGCGACUCUCAGAGCUGCUGGGGCCCAAGACAGCAUCCAGCCCUGCAUUUUAUGGGAUGGGCUACUGGGGCCCAGAGAAGGGGCAGUAGGGACCACCGUGACCGUGUGAUGGAUGACGAUGCUUACAAGGCCAUGGUCUACUUGGGGACCCUUCCAGCAUGUGACAGGAGACAUCCGUGGUGAUUAGUCAGGGGCUGCAUGGGAACAGCCUGCUGACUCCCGGGCGUGUCACGGCAGUGGCUUCCAAGCCAUCACUCCCUCCAGCACAGGAGGAGGCCCAGAUGAAAAGCCUCAAAGAUGCCUGGCAAAUGAUGUGCAGGAAAGAAUUAUGCAUCUUGUUCCAAUUAAGAUGUUGGAAGAGAAGAGCAUCUAAUUGUCCCACAAUUACCUUUAUUUAUCAAACUCAGAAUGAAGUGUGGUUGUGAAGCAUCUCAGGAGAGCUGUGUGGAGCUGGGGACGGUCCAGGCUCUGACGGGCAUCCUAGCCACGGCAGAAGAGAAGGCCAGCCUCCCGGGCCCCGGGGAUGAGCAGGGUGAGGUUCCCUGCAGAACCAGAGCAGAGGUCUGGUUCCCGCCCUGCUGCUGGCUUCGGGGGGCUUUGAGUCUGUCACUCCUCCCUCUGGGGUCUCUGCUUCUUCCCAUAGAAAAUGGGGACAUCUCUCUGCCCUGCCCAUCUCACAGGGAAGCCGAGACUUAGCAGGCACCACCCUGUCCUUGAUGCUGUGCCCAGCCUUUCCCACAUACCAUUUAAUCCUGCAAACAUAGACUGACCGAAGCGUUCACCUCCCCCGGGAAGCCUUCCUGGAGGCUCAGGUUGGGUCACAUGACUCUAUAUCUCCACUCCUGGACCUUGGUGGGGUCUUUACUGUCCAGGGGGUUGAACUGUGCAUCUCUUUGUCUGGACUGCGAGGCCAGCAAAGGCCAAGAUAAUUUUUGACCUAUGUUGGUAUUCCCAGCACCUGGGACAGACUUCUAGUAGAUUCUCCAUAAAUGUUUGUUGAAUCAGUGACUGAUAGAUAAGGAAACUAUGUCUCAGCAGGUUGAGUAACUUGCCCAAGGACACACAGUUAAUAAUUCUCAGAGCCGGGAAUCAAUGUGCUCGACUGAGAGCUUCACAUUAAUGAGGGGAGAGCCUCCAGGUGCUUUGAAAGGUCCACGGGACCGAGGAUGAGCUGAAGCAUCGGUAUUCUGCUUGCGCGGUCACGUGCCCACCGCAGGGAGAGGAGCCCUCGGAUGCAUCAGAAUAAACGCUCAGAGACGAGAGGAGGAACGAGCCGAUGACGUGCUGGGCACCGAUUUACACUCCAAUCCAAGGAUGGAGCAUUUUCCAGAUCCAAGAAUGGAGAGUUUUCUAGAGCCCUGGACAGCGUUUUCCCAGACCUAGGAAUGGAACUUUCCAGAGCUGGGGAUUGAGAAUUCUCUUGAGCCAGAAAUAACAUGCCUCAACUCAUUGUCGUAGGCUUUUGCAGAGGGAGGCAGGGAAAAAUGUGAAGAUGGAGGGGCCAGGUCUCGGUCAGAGUGGAGAAGAGCCUCUCCUCCAGAGGCAAAGGGUGCUGGCAUCCGGGCUGCUCGAUCUCUUGGGGUAUCCACAGUCACGCCGAGACCCCAUCAGACUCCACCCUUCGUGAUUACAACUCCCAGACAGCAGGAGGCAAAGCUCAUCAGCGUCUCAGAGACACAAACCUGCUUGAAAAUGGUUCCCACUCCCAGAUGAUCCAGAGCUAUGCCCCAAGGUCAAUGUGAAAGCUCAUUGAAUCAUUUUACUGCAGUGGAGAAAAAAGUCUAAAAGCAAGUUCCCUGCCUCAACCCUAUGGACAGAAAGGACCUCAGGGCCUCUUUUGUCAACUGGGGUGUUGAGCUUGCCUCCUUUCAUCAUUACGUUGGUAAUUUGUGCACUCGCCCUAAAUAAAUAGUAGUGAAUAGAUCUAGGUAUUGGAACGGAUAGGAAUUUGGCAUCAUCAGAACCAGCUUAGGAUCCAUUGGCAAGCUUCUGUUCAGUCCAGGCUUCAGUUUUCCCAUUUGACAAAUGGCAACACCGUGGUUCAUCCUGUGUGUGAAGCGCCCCAGCAUGGCGACCAGGGGGUGGCGGCCUUCUAAGAAAUGUAAGACGCAGGCAGUGAGGAGAAAUAAGCACCGGCCUGUCUGGGGGCCGACUCUCCUUAAUGGGGUGUCCUGGGAGACCUCACUUCCUGCCCCGACCCUCAAGUUCCCCCUCUGUGGGCAUCAAGACUUAAGAGAGAUGACAACAGCUACUACCCAUGGCAGCUCUGACGUGUAUUAACAGUCUGGGAGCUGCACUUUGGCCCUCGGAAAGGCGCCCCAAAGCCCGUCCUUUGGGCAGGAGGCGCUGAAUCAUUUCUCAGCGUCUGUAAUGACAUCCGUCAACAUCUUGUUGGAGGGUCAGGUGAGGUUCUCGUGGUGUAAAUAUGGUGACUCGGCCAAGGACCCAGGAACGGUGGACACCUCCUGGCCGAUCAAUCCUCCUCCCUCGAGAUUUCCCGGGCAGCUAUGCGUGCAAGGAUGAAAAACAAAUGGGAAAUUAAAGUGCUCCAGUGACAAGAGAGGAGUGAGGGCCGCCUUCGCUCUCCGAGGCGGGCUCUCUGCCCAGAAGGGAGGGACAGCAUUUCUCAUCACACGAACCAAAUCUGUUUCUGAAGACGUGUUGGGAAGCGACACUAUAGAGACGAUACGGUUUCUCUUGCCCACCCGAACUCCCAACCAAUUAACCCAAAUAUCUCAAAAACACCGUUAAACACCUAUACGACAGCCUCGCAAGGAUUUCUGCCUAAAACAGAGCAUUGUAAACUGAAAUCAAUAAAAAGUUA